GACGAACGCUGGCGGCGUGCCUAAUACAUGCAAGUCGAACGCAGUGGGGACGGGUGAGUAAAACGUGGGUAACCUCCCAUCAGAGGGGAUAACACUUGGAAACAGGUGCUAAACCGAUACUGAUGGAUGGACCCGCGGGGCAUUAGCAAGUGGGGGGGGUAAAGGCUCACCAAGGCCACGAUGCAUAGCGGACCUGGGGGGGUGGUCGGCAACACUGGGACUGGAACACGGCCCAGACUCCUACGGGAGGCAGCAGUGGGGAAUCUUCGGCAAUGGACGAAAGUCUGACCGAGCAACGCCGCGUGAGUGAGGAGGGUUUCGGAUCGUAAAGCUCUGUUGUUAGAGAAGCGGUAUCUAACCAGAAAGCCACGGCUAACUACGUGCCAGCCGCCGCGGUAAUAC
rnacentral:rRNA from 1 species